rnacentral:rRNA from 1 species
CGUCAUCGUAGGGUUAGUCGGGACCUAAGUCGAGUCCGAAAGGGGUAGACGAUGGCAAAUCGGUUAAUAUUCCGAUACCGACGGUUGUUUGUUUGAAUGAUGGGGGGACGCAUAGGGCUAAUCGAGCUCACUGAUGGAAUAGUGGGUCGAAGGACGUAGGUCGUACAGUAGGAAAAUCCGCUGUGCACUAGACCGAGAUCUUACAGGCAGACCAAUCUCUUCGGAGAGCGGUCUGAAUCGAUGAUGCCGUCGUGCCGAGAAAAGCCUCUAAAUGAGAACAACCGUUGCCCGUACCGUAAACCGACACAGGUGGGUGAGAUGAGUAUUCUAAGGCGCGUGGAAGAACUACUGUUAAGGAACUCUGCAAACUAGCACCGUAACUUCGGAAUAAGGUGUGCCUUAAAUGUUUAGGGAUUUACUCCCGAAAGCAUUACAAGGCCGCAGCAAAGUGUCCCUCCCGACUGUUUAC